UACGGAGGGUGCAAGCGUUGUCCGGAAUUACUGGGCGUAAAGGGCGCGUAGGUGGCCAACUAAGUCAGACGUGAAAUCCCUCGGCUUAACCGGGGAACUGCAUCUGAUACUGGAUGGCUUGAGUUUGGGAGAGGGACGCGGAAUUCCAGGUGUAGCGGUGAAAUGCGUAGAUAUCUGGAGGAACACCGGUGGCGAAGGCGGCGUCCUGGACCAACACUGACACUGAUGAGCGAAAGCGUGGGGAGCAAACAGG
rnacentral:rRNA from 1 species